GGUGAACGCUGGCGGCGUGCUUAAGACAUGCAAGUCGAACGGCAGUCUUCGGACUGUAGUGGCGCACGGGUGAGUAACGCGUAACUGACCUACCCCAGAGUCGCGGAUAACGAUUCGAAAGAAUCGCUAAUACGUGAUGUGCUGUCAGAUUGUGUUCUGCCAGUAAAGAUUGAUUGCUUUGGGAUGGGGUUGCGUUCCAUCAGCUAGUUGGUGGGAUAAAGGCCCACCAAGGCGACGACGGAUAGCCGGCCUGAGAGGGUGGCCGGCCACAGGGGCACUGAGACACGGGUCCCACUCCUACGGGAGGCAGCAGUUAGGAAUCUUCCACAAUGGGCGAAAGCCUGAUGGAGCGACGCCGCGUGAGGGAUGAAGGUCUUCGGAUCGUAAACCUCUGAAUCAGGGACGAAAGACACUUCGGUGGGAUGACGGUACCUGAGUAAUAGCACCGGCUAACUCCGUGCCAGCCGCCGCAGUAACAC
rnacentral:rRNA from 1 species